UGGGGAGCAAACAGGAUUAGAUACCCUGGUAGUCCACGCCGUAAACGAUGUCGACUUGGAGGUUGUUCCCUUGAGGAGUGGCUUCCGGAGCUAACGCGUUAAGUCGACCGCCUGGGGAGUACGGCCGCAAGGUUAAAACUCAAAUGAAUUGACGGGGGCCCGCACAAGCGGUGGAGCAUGUGGUUUAAUUCGAUGCAACGCGAAGAACCUUACCUACUCUUGACAUCCACGGAAUUCGGCAGAGAUGCCUUAGUGCCUUCGGGAACCGUGAGACAGGUGCUGCAUGGCUGUCGUCAGCUCGUGUUGUGAAAUGUUGGGUUAAGUCCCGCAACGAGCGCAACCCUUAUCCUUUGUUGCCAGCGAUUCGGUCGGGAACUCAAAGGAGACUGCCGGUGAUAAACCGGAGGAAGGUGGGGAUGACGUCAAGUCAUCAUGGCCCUUACGAGUAGGGCUACACACGUGCUACAAUGGCGCAUACAAAGAGAAGCGACCUCGCGAGAGCAAGCGGACCUCAUAAAGUGCGUCGUAGUCCGGAUCGGAGUCUGCAACUCGACUCCGUGAAGUCGGAAUCGCUAGUAAUCGUGGAUCAGAAUGCCACGGUGAAUACGUUCCCGGGCCUUGUACACACCGCCCGUCACACCAUGGGAGUGGGUUGCAAAAGAAGUAGGUAGCUUAACCUUCGGGA
rnacentral:rRNA from 2 species